GGUCUGAUCGUAUAACGGUCAGUACACAAGAUUCUGAUCCUCAUCCUCCUCCUCCUCCCGACGAGUGUUGUCUUGAUCGUUCUUGUAAUCUGGGUUCGAUUCCCAGUCGGACCU